GACGUAGGAGGCGAGCGUUGUCCGGAUUCAUUGGGCGUAAAGAGCACGCAGGCGGUUUGGCAAGUCGGAUGUGAAAACCCGGAGCUCAACUCCGGACCUGCAUCCGAAACUGCCCGACUAGAGGUAGGUAGGGGAGAUCGGAAUUCCUGGUGUAGCGGUGAAAUGCGCAGAUAUCAGGAGGAACACCGGUGGCGAAGGCGGAUCUCUGGGCAUGUCCUGACGCUGAGGAGCGAAAGUGUGGGGAGCGAACAGG
rnacentral:rRNA from 1 species